rnacentral:rRNA from 1 species
GAUGAACGCUAGCUACAGGCUUAACACAUGCAAGUCGAGGGGCAUCAGGAAGAAAGCUUGCUUUCUUUGCUGGCGACCGGCGCACGGGUGAGUAACACGUAUCCAACCUGCCCUUUACUCGGGGAUAGCCUUUCGAAAGAAAGAUUAAUACCCGAUGGCAUAAUGAUUCCGCAUGGUUUCAUUAUUAAAGGAUUCCGGUAAAGGAUGGGGAUGCGUUCCAUUAGGUUGUUGGUGAGGUAACGGCUCACCAAGCCUUCGAUGGAUAGGGGUUCUGAGAGGAAGGUCCCCCACAUUGGAACUGAGACACGGUCCAAACUCCUACGGGAGGCAGCAGUGAGGAAUAUUGGUCAAUGGGCGCUAGCCUGAACCAGCCAAGUAGCGUGAAGGAUGAAGGCUCUAUGGGUCGUAAACUUCUUUUAUAUAAGAAUAAAGUGCAGUAUGUAUACUGUUUUGUAUGUAUUAUAUGAAUAAGGAUCGGCUAACUCCGUGCCAGCAGCCGCGGUAAUACGGAGGAUCCGAGCGUUAUCCGGAUUUAUUGGGUUUAAAGGGAGCGUAGGUGGACUGGUAAGUCAGUUGUGAAAGUUUGCGGCUCAACCGUAAAAUUGCAGUUGAUACUGUCAGUCUUGAGUACAGUAGAGGUGGGCGGAAUUCGUGGUGUAGCGGUGAAAUGCUUAGAUAUCACGAAGAACUCCGAUUGCGAAGGCAGCUCACUGGACUGCAACUGACACUGAUGCUCGAAAGUGUGGGUAUCAAACAGGAUUAGAUACCCUGGUAGUCCACACAGUAAACGAUGAAUACUCGCUGUUUGCGAUAUACAGUAAGCGGCCAAGCGAAAGCAUUAAGUAUUCCACCUGGGGAGUACGCCGGCAACGGUGAAACUCAAAGGAAUUGACGGGGGCCCGCACAAGCGGAGGAACAUGUGGUUUAAUUCGAUGAUACGCGAGGAACCUUACCCGGGCUUAAAUUGCAGUGGAAUGAUGUGGAAACAUGUCAGUGAGCAAUCACCGCUGUGAAGGUGCUGCAUGGUUGUCGUCAGCUCGUGCCGUGAGGUGUCGGCUUAAGUGCCAUAACGAGCGCAACCCUUAUCUUUAGUUACUAACAGGUCAUGCUGAGGACUCUAGAGAGACUGCCGUCGUAAGAUGUGAGGAAGGUGGGGAUGACGUCAAAUCAGCACGGCCCUUACGUCCGGGGCUACACACGUGUUACAAUGGGGGGUACAGAAGGCAGCUAGCGGGUGACCGUAUGCUAAUCCCAAAAGCCUCUCUCAGUUCGGAUCGAAGUCUGCAACCCGACUUCGUGAAGCCGGAUUCGCUAGUAAUCGCGCAUCAGCCACGGCGCGGUGAAUACGUUCCCGGACCUUGUACACACCGCCCGUCAAGCCAUGAAAGCCGGGGGUACCUGAAGUACGUAACCGCAAGGAGCGUCCUAGGGUAAAACUGGUAAUUGGGGCUAAGUC